GGACAUUAAUAAUUUUUGUCACUAAUUAAUUCCGCUUAUAAAUUCUUUAAAUUUCUCCUUCUUAAUGACACUUUAGUGCCGGUGUGGAGGAGAGGAGGUGACGUGAGAUUUGUGCAGGCAUCACUGAUGUGCUCUUUGGAAGUUUGUCUUUGAGAGUGGUGGUUACUUACACCAUGGGCAGUAACACUUUCGGAUUGAAUAUUUCCAACAAAACUUUACAGAAGACCGUACCACACCGCUUUAUAUUUACUAUUUCAGUCACUUGCUAUUUAUUUAUUCAUGAGGGCCCAUGAGAGGAGAGAGAGAGUGUUAUUCGCUGGCAGUUUGCAACGAGGACAGGAUGUUUUCUUGUGAAAAUAAUGUCCCUCCUCACCUUUUGUACCUGUGUGCUUCAGUCAGUAAGCCUGUGUUGGCUGCUGGGUAUACAGGGCCGUGUGCCGGGCAGUGUGGGGAAUGUCACGAUGCCUGACUCAGCCAUCGUGCUGCGGGUUCUCACGGUCUGGAGAGGCACAUCAGCCCACACCAGGGAAAGAAGCCACAAAUUAUGGGCAGAUUGCCCAGCCCCAUCAUUUAUUUGCUCUGUGACCCUGGGAAAGUAGGCUGGGCUUCUCUGCGCCUCAAUUGCCACAUCUGUAGAAUGAUACCUGCCCUAUGAUGUUGUGAAGUUUAAAUAAAGUAAUAAAGAUAAGGCCCAUGGUGAGCACUCAGUCAACAUCAGCUGGUGCUGGAAUUAAGGGGUCAAGAGUGGGGUUUGUAUCCAGGUCAAACUGGAACCUGAAAAGAUCCACUCAACCCAAGAGGACAAACUAAAACCUGUGAAGACAUAGUGGAAGCUACAUCUGCCUCUUCCUGCCUCCAACCUGGAGAAGGAGCCAGCAUCCUUUGCCAUGGCGGUGCACAUGCACCUGGCCCAGGCUAUGGAGACGCUGGAAGAGGAGAUCUUGUGGGAGCUAGAGUUGCUGCGGGCCCCACUGCUGUCCCACACCAACAAGGUGUGCCAGAGGACCAGUGCCAAUAUACGCCAGUGACACUAGCACCUGGUCUUACACUAGACUUCAGAACACCAUGGCUGCUGCUUCACUUCCACCUCCCACAUCCUGCUCCAACUUUUCUUCUGGCCAACCUUAACUCAGAGCCACACAGGGAAGACAAUCCUAGGAAACUGUGUUUCUGGCCUAGCGAAGUUGACACAGUCACUACAAGUGUGAAACCUUAGGGUAGAAUGUAACUGGUUGCUCUUGGAAAGAAGGAUGGCAUACCACAGCAAAGACACAUCGGGGUCAUUCUGUGCAUCAGUUAUAGGCAAGGACUUCCCAGAGUUUGGUGCUCAGAUUCAAUAAAAGCGGUGUCCAGGAAGGACUCAUUUACACAGCCACAUUCACUCCACCAAUCCUGCUGAAUGUCUUUGUACACGAUGGUCAAUGGAGCAGAAGAGGAAGGCACAGUAAGCAUGGAGCUACCGGCAGCAUUUUGGAAAUCUUUCGGUCACUGUGAAUUUUGGUCACUGACCUCGGACUUCUGAAUUUGGCCAUCCAACAUUGAAGCUUCCACCCAGCUUUUUAACGAUGAUAUCCAUAGGGCCAUUUGAACUGUUCUCACAGAGAAGCGCAGCGAACUCACUGCCGAGCAGAGGAGGGCGAGAAGAAAGAGGAACCUGAUUUUUAUUAGAAAGGCGGCGGCCGGCUCCAUGGCUUAGCGCUACCCGCCAGUACCUAACCCGGGCGCCGAGGCGACCCCGCGCCAGCGCGGCCCGGCGGGCGGGCGACGAGAGGCUCUCCGGCGCCCUCUGCUGGGCAGUCGGCUCCACGCCGCCUCCGCCCGUGGGUCCUCCAGGCAGAGCGCGGGACUCAUCCCACCCGCGCUUUCCAUAUUUGCUUCCCGCCGUUCAGGGGGUGUUGCGAGACGGCGAGGUGAUGUGAAGCCUGAGGGGCGAUGUGGGUUGAAGUGGAGUUUGCGGGGGGCUGCGGUGGGAGGCGUGUGGAGUCUGGGAAGUAAC
rnacentral:lncRNA from 1 species